UACGGAGGGUGCAAGCGUUAUCCGGAUUCACUGGGUUUAAAGGGUGCGUAGGUGGGCUAGUAAGUCCGUGGUGAAAUCUCUGAGCUUAACUCGGAAACUGCCGUGGAUACUAUUAGUCUUGAAUCUCGUGGAGGUAAGCGGAAUAUGUCAAGUAGCGGUGAAAUGCUUAGAUAUGACAUAGAACACCGAUAGCGAAGGCAGCUUGCUACACGAGUAUUGACACUGAGGCACGAAAGCGUGGGGAUCAAACAGG
rnacentral:rRNA from 1 species